CCUAACACAUGCAAGUCGAGCGGUAACAGAAAGUAGCUUGCUACUUUGCUGACGAGCGGCGGACGGGUGAGUAAUGCUUGGGAACAUGCCUUGAGGUGGGGGACAACAGUUGGAAACGACUGCUAAUACCGCAUAAUGUCUACGGACCAAAGGGGGCUUCGGCUCUCGCCUUUAGAUUGGCCCAAGUGGGAUUAGCUAGUUGGUGAGGUAAUGGCUCACCAAGGCGACGAUCCCUAGCUGGUUUGAGAGGAUGAUCAGCCACACUGGGACUGAGACACGGCCCAGACUCCUACGGGAGGCAGCAGUGGGGAAUAUUGCACAAUGGGCGCAAGCCUGAUGCAGCCAUGCCGCGUGUGUGAAGAAGGCCUUCGGGUUGUAAAGCACUUUCAGUCAGGAGGAAAGGUUAGUAGUUAAUACCUGCUAGCUGUGACGUUACUGACAGAAGAAGCACCGGCUAACUCCGUGCCAGCAGCCGCGGUAAUACGGAGGGUGCGAGCGUUAAUCGGAAUUACUGGGCGUAAAGCGUACGCA
rnacentral:rRNA from 1 species